rnacentral:ribozyme from 1 species
UUGGACAGGGGGGAUUUUCGUGAGUACUUCACUCCCAUGCGAAUACCUGCGCCACUUGAUAUUCAUGUCACUGCAGUACAUACAAUGGGUCGUAC